rnacentral:rRNA from 1 species
CACGUAGGGGGCGAGCGUUGUCCGGAAUCAUUGGGCGUAAAGAGCUCGUAGGCGGCUCGGUAAGUCGGGUGUGAAACCCCCAGGCUCAACCUGGGGACGCCACCCGAUACUGCUGUGGCUAGAGUCCAGUAGGGGAGUGUGGAAUUCCCGGUGUAGCGGUGAAAUGCGCAGAUAUCGGGAGGAACACCAGCGGCGAAGGCGGCACUCUGGGGCGGUACUGACGCUGAGACGCGAAAGCGUGGGGAGCGAACAGG